GACGAACGCUGGCGGCGUGCUUAACACAUGCAAGUCGAGCGGUAAGGCCCUUCGGGGUACACGAGCGGCGAACGGGUGAGUAACACGUGGGUGAUCUGCCUCGUACUUCGGGAUAAGCCUGGGAAACUGGGUCUAAUACCGGAUAUGACCGCAUGCUGCAUGGUGUGUGGUGGAAAGAUUUAUCGGUGCGAGAUGGGCCCGCGGCCGAUCAGCUUGGUUGUGGGGUAAUGGCCUACCAAGGCGACGACGGGUAGCCGACCUGAGAGGGGGACCGGCCACACUGGGACUGAGACACGGCCCAGACUCCUACGGGAGGCAGCAGUGGGGAAUAUUGCACAAUGGGCGGAAGCCUGACGCAGCGACGCCGCGUGAGGGAUGACGGCCUUCGGGCUGUAAACCUCUUUCGACAGGGACGAAGCGGAAGUGACGGUACCUGUAGAAGAAGCACCGGCCAACUACGUGCCAGCCGCCGCGGUAACAC
rnacentral:rRNA from 1 species